rnacentral:rRNA from 1 species
AGAGUUUGAUCCUGGCUCAGGAUGAACGCUAGCGACAGGCCUAACACAUGCAAGUCGAGGGGCAGCAUUUCUAGCUUGCUAGAAGAUGGCGACCGGCGCACGGGUGAGUAACGCGUAUGCAACCUACCUUAUACUGGGGGAUAGCCCAGAGAAAUCUGGAUUAAUACCGCAUAACAAUGUUUUAUCGCAUGGUAAGAUAUUUAAAACUCCGGUGGUAUAAGAUGGGCAUGCGUAGCAUUAGUUAGUUGGUGAGGUAACGGCUCACCAAGACAAUGAUGCUUAGGGGGUCUGAGAGGAUAGUCCCCCACACUGGUACUGAGACACGGACCAGACUCCUACGGGAGGCAGCAGUGAGGAAUAUUGGUCAAUGGGCGAAAGCCUGAACCAGCCAUGUCGCGUGCAGGAUGACGGCCCUAUGGGUUGUAAACUGCUUUUUUACAGGAAUAAUUGUCUCUACGUGUAGAGAUUUGAAUGUACUGUAUGAAUAAGAUCGCUAACU